AGUGAACGCUCGCGGUAGGCCUAACACAUGCCAGUCGAACGGCAGCACAGUAAGAGCUUGCUCUUACGGGUGGCGAGUGGCGGACGGGUGAGGAAUACAUCGGAAUCUACUUUUUCGUGGGGGAUAACGUAGGGAAACUUACGCUAAUACCGCAUACGACCUACGGGUGAAAGCAGGGGAUCUUCGGACCUUGCGCGAUUGAAUGAGCCGAUGUCGGAUUAGCUAGUUGGCGGGGUAAAGGCCCACCAAGGCGACGAUCCGUAGCUGGUCUGAGAGGAUGAUCAGCCACACUGGAACUGAGACACGGUCCAGACUCCUACGGGAGGCAGCAGUGGGGAAUAUUGGACAAUGGGCGCAAGCCUGAUCCAGCCAUACCGCGUGGGUGAAGAAGGCCUUCGGGUUGUAAAGCCCUUUUGUUGGGAAAGAAAAGCAGCAGGUUAAUACCCCGCUGUUCUGACGGUACCCGAAGAAUAAGCACCGGCUAACUUCGUG
rnacentral:rRNA from 1 species